rnacentral:rRNA from 1 species
GAUGAACGCUGGCGGCGUGCCUAAUACAUGCAAGUCGAGCGAACGGACGAGAAGCUUGCUUCUCUGAUGUUAGCGGCGGACGGGUGAGUAACACGUGGAUAACCUACCUAUAAGACUGGGAUAACUUCGGGAAACCGGAGCUAAUACCGGAUAAUAUUUUGAACCGCAUGGUUCAAAAGUGAAAGACGGUCUUGCUGUCACUUAUAGAUGGAUCCGCGCUGCAUUAGCUAGUUGGUAAGGUAACGGCUUACCAAGGCAACGAUGCAUAGCCGACCUGAGAGGGUGAUCGGCCACACUGGAACUGAGACACGGUCCAGACUCCUACGGGAGGCAGCAGUAGGGAAUCUUCCGCAAUGGGCGAAAGCCUGACGGAGCAACGCCGCGUGAGUGAUGAAGGUCUUCGGAUCGUAAAACUCUGUUAUUAGGGAAGAACAUAUGUGUAAGUAACUGUGCACAUCUUGACGGUACCUAAUCAGAAAGCCACGGCUAACUACGUGCCAGCAGCCGCGGUAAUACGUAGGUGGCAAGCGUUAUCCGGAAUUAUUGGGCGUAAAGCGCGCGUAGGCGGUUUUUUAAGUCUGAUGUGAAAGCCCACGGCUCAACCGUGGAGGGUCAUUGGAAACUGGAAAACUUAAGUGCAGAAGAGGAAAGUGGAAUUCCAUGUGUAGCGGUGAAAUGCGCAGAGAUAUGGAGGAACACCAGUGGCGAAGGCGACUUUCUGGUCUGUAACUGACGCUGAUGUGCGAAAGCGUGGGGAUCAAACAGGAUUAGAUACCCUGGUAGUCCACGCCAAAAACGAUGAGUGCUAAGAGUUGGGGGGUUUCCCCCCCUCAGUGCUGCAGCUAACGCAUUAAGCACUCCGCCUGGGGAGUACGACCGCAAGGUUGAAACUCAAAGGAAUUGACGGGGACCCGCACAACCGGUGGAGCACAUGGUUUAAUUCGAAGCAACGCGAAGAACCUUACCAAAUCUUGACAUCCUUUGACAACUCUAGAGAUAGAGCCUUCCCCUUCGGGGGACAAAGUGACAGGUGGUGCAUGGUUGUCGUCAGCUCGCGUCGUGAGAUGUUGGGUUAAGUCCCGCAACGAGCGCAACCCUUAAGCUUAGUUGCCAUCAUUAAGUUGGGCACUCUAAGUUGACUGCCGGUGACAAACCGGAGGAAGGUGGGGAUGACGUCAAAUCAUCAUGCCCCUUAUGAUUUGGGCUACACACGUGCUACAAUGGACAAUACAAAGGGCAGCGAAACCGCGAGGUCAAGCAAAUCCCAUAAAGUUGUUCUCAGUUCGGAUUGUAGUCUGCAACUCGACUACAUGAAGCUGGAAUCGCUAGUAAUCGUAGAUCAGCAUGCUACGGUGAAUACGUUCCCGGG